CACAACGGAAAGCGUAUGUAGACUGAAGCUAUGCAGAGUGAAGUCUUGACAGCUGAAGCUUACUUGGGAACCAAUGGUGCCCUAAAUUAAGAUAAUUUAUGAAACGUUGGUUUCCCUCUGUUGCUCCCAGGCUCCAGGCUGGAGUGCAGUGGCAUGAUCUUAGCUCACUGCAGCCUCCUCUUCCCAGGUUCAAGGGAUCCUCCCACCUUUGCCUCCUGAGUAGCUGAGACUACAGUGUCGCUUUGUCACUCAGGCUGGAGUGCAAUGGUGCAAUCUUGGCUCAGUGCAAUCUCUGCCUCCCAGGUUCAGGUGAUUCUUCUGCCUCAGCCUCCUGAAUAACUGGGACUACAGUGCCUGAAAAGUAGCAGCAAUGUGCCCUGCAACAGAAUCUGCACACUACAGAGACACUACAAAAGCUACCAUGAAGAAGCUACAUAGAUGAUCACUGGGUUGUACCUCUCAAGUACUUUCUCAGAAGCCACAUCCAUAUUAUUGCUGAGAGUACAUGCUUUGCUAUAAACCCUAACUGGGUUGACUCCUGGCUCUGCCAUUUAGUAGCUGAGAGAUUUUGACCAAAUUACUGGCAGAGACCUUUGUCUCCUUGUCUAUGAAAUAAAAUAAAAAUAGCUACCACUCUGAGAAUUUUCAAUAAAACCUGUUAAAUUUUACAAGGU